rnacentral:rRNA from 1 species
UUGUAGUCUGCAACUCGACUACAUGAAGCUGGAAUCGCUAGUAAUCGCGGAUCAGAAUGCCGCGGUGAAUACGUUCCCGGGUCUUGUACACACCGCCCGUCACACCAUGGGAGUCAGUAACGCCCGAAGUCAGUGACCCAACCAAGUAAGGGAGGGAGCUGCCGAAGGUGGGACCGAUAACUGGGGUGAAGUCGUAACAAGGUAUC